CUAAUACAUGCAAGUCGAGCGAACUGAUUAGAAGCUUGCUUCUAUGACGUUAGCGGCGGACGGGUGAGUAACACGUGGGCAACCUGCCUGUAAGACUGGGAUAACUUCGGGAAACCGAAGCUAAUACCGGAUAGGAUCUUCUCCUUCAUGGGAGAUGAUUGAAAGAUGGUUUCGGCUAUCACUUACAGAUGGGCCCGCGGUGCAUUAGCUAGUUGGUGAGGUAACGGCUCACCAAGGCAACGAUGCAUAGCCGACCUGAGAGGGUGAUCGGCCACACUGGGACUGAGACACGGCCCAGACUCCUACGGGAGGCAGCAGUAGGGAAUCUUCCGCAAUGGACGAAAGUCUGACGGAGCAACGCCGCGUGAGUGAUGAAGGCUUUCGGGUCGUAAAACUCUGUUGUUAGGGAAGAACAAGUACGAGAGUAACUGCUCGUACCUUGACGGUACCUAACCAGAAAGCCACGGCUAACUACGUGCCAGCAGCCGCGGUAAUACGUAGGUGGCAAGCGUUAUCCGGAAUUAUUGGGCGUAAAGCGCGCGCAGGCGGUUUCUUAAGUCUGAUGUGAAAGCCCACGGCUCAACCGUGGAGGGUCAUUGGAAACUGGGGAACUUGAGUGCAGAAGAGAAAAGCGGAAUUCCACGUGUAGCGGUGAAAUGCGUAGAGAUGUGGAGGAACACCAGUGGCGAAGGCGGCUUUUUGGUCUGUAACUGACGCUGAGGCGCGAAAGCGUGGGGAGCAAACAGGAUUAGAUACC
rnacentral:rRNA from 2 species